UAGAGUUUGAUCAUGGCUCAGAUUGAACGCUGGCGGCAGGCCUAACACAUGCAAGUCGAGCGGUAGAGAGAAGCUUGCUUCUCUUGAGAGCGGCGGACGGGUGAGUAAUGCCUAGGAAUCUGCCUGGUAGUGGGGGAUAACGUUCGGAAACGGACGCUAAUACCGCAUACGUCCUACGGGAGAAAGCAGGGGACCUUCGGGCCUUGCGCUAUCAGAUGAGCCUAGGUCGGAUUAGCUAGUUGGUGGGGUAAUGGCUCACCAAGGCGACGAUCCGUAACUGGUCUGAGAGGAUGAUCAGUCACACUGGAACUGAGACACGGUCCAGACUCCUACGGGAGGCAGCAGUGGGGAAUAUUGGACAAUGGGCGAAAGCCUGAUCCAGCCAUGCCGCGUGUGUGAAGAAGGUCUUCGGAUUGUAAAGCACUUUAAGUUGGGAGGAAGGGCAGUUACCUAAUACGUGAUUGUUUUGACGUACCGAC
rnacentral:rRNA from 1 species